rnacentral:rRNA from 1 species
GGAGAAAAGCAGGGGAUCGCAAGACCUUGCGCUAAAGGAGCGGCCGAUGUCUGAUUAGUUAGUUGGUGGGGUAAAGGCCUACCAAGGCAACGAUCAGUAGCUGGUCUGAGAGGACGAUCAGCCACACUGGGACUGAGACACGGCCCAGACUCCUACGGGAGGCAGCAGUGGGGAAUUUUGGACAAUGGGCGAAAGCCUGAUCCAGCCAUGCCGCGUGAAUGAAGAAGGCCUUCGGGUUGUAAAGUUCUUUUAGUUGGAAAGAAAAAAUUAUGAUGAAUAAUCAUAAUUCAUGACGGUACCGACAGAAAAAGCACCGGCUAACUACGUGCCAGCAGCCGCGGUAAUACGUAGGGUGCAAGCGUUAAUCGGAAUUACUGGGCGUAAAGGGUGUGCAGGCGGCCUUGUAAGUCAGAUGUGAAAGCCCCGGGCUUAACCUGGGAAUUGCGUUUGAAACUACAAAGCUAGAAGGGC